CCUACGGGAGGCAGCAGUGGGGAAUAUUGCACAAUGGGGGAAACCCUGAUGCAGCGACGCCGCGUGAGUGAAGAAGUAAUUCGUUAUGUAAAGCUCUAUCAGCAGGGAAGAAAAUGACGGUAACUGAGUAAGAAGCCCCGGCUAACUACGUUCCAGCAGCCGCGGUCAUACGUAGGGGGCAAGCGUUAUCCGGAUUUACUGGGUGUAAAGGGAGCGUAGACGGCAGUGCAAGUCUGGAGUGAAAGGCGGGGGCUCAACCCCCGGACUGCUCUGGAAACUGUACGGCUGGAGUGCAGGAGAGGUAAGUGGAAUUCCUAGUGUAGCGGUGAAAUGCGUAGAUAUUAGGAGGAACACCAGUGGCGAAGGCGGCUUACUGGACUGUAACUGACGUUGAGGCUCGAAAGCGUGGGGAGCAAACAGGAUUAGAUACCCCUGUAGUC
rnacentral:rRNA from 1 species